rnacentral:rRNA from 1 species
CCUACGGGAGGCAGCAGUGGGGAAUAUUGGACAAUGGGCGAAAGCCUGAUCCAGCAAUGCCGCGUGAGUGAUGAAGGCCUUCGGGUCGUAAAGCUCUUUUACCAGGGAUGAUAAUGACAGUACCUGGAGAAUAAGCUCCGGCUAACUCCGUGCUAGCAGCCGCGGUAAUACGGAGGGAGCUAGCGUUGUUCGGAAUUACUGGGCGUAAAGAGUACGUAGGCGGUUAUUCAAGUCAGAGGUGAAAGCCCGGGGCUCAACCCCGGAACUGCCUUUGAAACUAGAUAACUAGAGUCUUGGAGAGGUUAGUGGAAUUCCGAGUGUAGAGGUGAAAUUCGUAGAUAUUCGGAAGAACACCAGUGGCGAAGGCGACUAACUGGACAAGUACUGACGCUGAGGUACGAAAGCGUGGGGAGCAAACAGGAUUAGAUACCCUGGUAGUCCACGCCGUAAACGAUGAUAACUAGUUGUUCGGUCACUUGGUGACUGAGUGACGCAGCUAACGCAUUAAGUUAUCCGCCUGGGGAGUACGGUCGCAAGAUUAAAACUCAAAGGAAUUGACGGCUGAGANGCGAGNGACACAGGAGAG